rnacentral:rRNA from 1 species
GACGAACGCUGGCGGCGUGCCUAAUACAUGCCAGUUGAGCGAUGAAGAUUGGUGCUUGCACCAAUUUGAAGAGCAGCGAACGGGUGAGUAACGCGUGGGGAAUCUGCCUUUGAGCGGGGGACAACAUUUGGAAACGAAUGCUAAUACCGCAUAACAACUUUAAACAUAAGUUUUAAGUUUGAAAGAUGCAAUUGCAUCACUCAAAGAUGAUCCCGCGUUGUAUUAGCUAGUUGGUGAGGUAAAGGCUCACCAAGGCGAUGAUACAUAGCCGACCUGAGAGGGUGAUCGGCCACAUUGGGACUGGGACACGGCCCAAACUCCUACGGGAGGCAGCAGUAGGGAAUCUUCGGCAAUGGACGAAAGUCUGACCGAGCAACGCCGCGUGAGGGAAGAAGGGUUUCGGAUCGUAAAACUCUGUUGGUAGAGAAGAACGUUGGUGAGAGUGGAAAGCUCAUCAAGUGACGGUAACUACCCAGAAAGGGACGGCUAACUACGUG